rnacentral:rRNA from 1 species
UACAGAGGGUGCUAGCGUUGUUCGGAAUCAUUGGGCGUAAAGGGCGUGUAGGCGGUUUGUUAAGUCAUGUGUGAAAGCCCCCGGCUCAACCGGGGAACGACGCAUGAAACUGGCAAGCUAGAGUACCGAAGAGGGGGGUGGAAUUCCCGGUGUAGCGGUGGAAUGCGCAGAUAUCAGGAGGAACACCGAUGGCGAAGGCAGGUCACUGGGCCGCAACUGACGCUGAGGAGCGAAAGCAUGGGGAGCGAACAGG